rnacentral:misc_RNA from 1 species
CCGAGUUUACAACUCCCAAUCCCAUGUGAACAUACCUAUCGUUGCUCCGGCGGAUCGCCCCGGGCGCCUUGCGUGCCCCGGAUCCAGGCGGCCGCCGGGGGACCUUAACUCUUGUUUCUACUGAGAAUCUUCUGAGUCGUUUUUACAAAUAAAUAA